GCGUCCGAGCAAGAAGAACAGUGAGAGGGUGACGGCCGGCGACGGGGCAGGGAGCCUGCACACGUGGCGGUGUAACCCCGGUGAUGUCGGCAACAACGUCCUCGUUAGCCUCAAGCCUGGUGGUGGAGGAGGAGACCAUCUGCAUGGAUGGCAAUGCGCCGACUUCUCCUCUAUGUCGGGCUUCGAACUGGAUCACACACAGACGUCUCACAUCAGGGUGCAAUCUUCGUCGGGUAGCAGAUGUCCGACGAACUACGUGGUUACGGACGUGCAGGACGAUCGAGACAACGCACAUAGCGUCGACCAAGCCAUCUGCGUCCUCGUGGCGGGUGGCUACGAAGUCGACUGCAGCCAGGCCGUCACGAUCGCCAUGCAAAAGAACAACGUAGCCACAUGCCCAGACUUCCACGCCGUCGUCAGCGCGGCCCGCCCGCGCUCGUGGGAAACCAUGCACUGCUGUGAAGUGAAGCGACCAUAAUGACCCUUUUUCGCCACGCAUUGAUGACUUGUGUUUUGAUGCCUUCCGUGGUAGGUCUGACUUCGGGUACGUCGAUGGCCUUUUGGGCUUUCUCUACGAAAAGAUGAUAUCAUACUAGCGAUUAAACGUCUUUCGACGACUUUUCUUUGCAUUUCAAAUGAACAGAGUCGUCCGCAUACUCUUGUAAGGUAAGAUUACCUCACAAGAAUAUGUGCGACAACCUCACUUUAGCUCUUACGUUAAACCCGUUCAAACGAAAGGUCCUGAUCGUAGCGGCAGGUCACGUCCCAACAGCGGGUGGACAUCUGACAUACGCGCGGCGACGGAAAGAGACGUGCUCACGAUGGUAAGAGUCGCGCUCACCCCCGCUCUCAGUGCUCCAUUGUACGACAUGAUCGUUUUUGGAGAUAGUGUAGAUCUCAGUGCAACGAAAACGAAGGGCACAAUACGACUGCUGGUUAAUUUUCUUCAGAUUGGAAAGAAGUAGUGUGCUCCUUUAAGAGUGCAAAAGUAAGGCUAGAUAUAUGAUAACUUGGUCUGCAGAUUUAGGUUAUUGUGGGCACAUUGCGGACUCAUGCGAGGAGGGGCAGCAAAUUGUCAUGGUAUAAUUCCAACAUUUUUAUGAGCCAAUUCUAAAUAAGUGAAUAAGGUGUGUGCGGAGGCAGUCGGGUGUUAGGCAUCUCACACGUAAAUGAUCUGCUGAUUUUGCGUUCUGAAAACGUGAACUCUGGAGGCCCGGCGUGUGGACCAUGAUGUCAUGAUCAUCAAAAAUACUUGCAAUCAGUCAAUCAGCACUUUAUUCUUCUGAAAUGUAUCCUAUUUCUCUGCCGCUGCCCGCAUGUCACGUGUUCAGUAGUUAUUGAAUAUUCCAUACGGUCGAGUGAAUACCCACGAACUGUCACCGCUUCUGAGGUAAUUCUUCAAUGAUUAAGUUUUUUAGGUUUUACCAUGACUAUUUUGUGUUUUUAACGCGUUAGUUUUGAGAAGUUGACAAUAUAUAGUGUUCAUUAACCAAGCAUGUUGAGUGUGUUUUAUGCGUUCCCGACUGUUGCCGAUGUCUUUAUUAGGGCUGCUUUUAUUAGGACAGCACCUGUAAGUGGUAGGUCAAGCAAUAUAUCCCCUGAGCCCAGAGCCAAAAGUAAACUUAGGUGAACAAAACUGUUAAAACGCAAUCUCAAAAACUUGUGUGUCGUGUAGUUGAGGUAAAAAAAUCGUUUGAAUUUAGUAAGAUUUAGACAUGUUUUAU